rnacentral:rRNA from 1 species
UACGUAGGGCGCAAGCGUUACUCGGAAUUACUGGGCGUAAAGCGUGCGUAGGUGGUGAGUUAAGUCUGUCGUGAAAGCCCCGGGCUCAACCUGGGAAUGGCGAUGGAUACUGGCUCGCUAGAGUGCGGUAGAGGAGAGUGGAAUUCCCGGUGUAGCAGUGAAAUGCGUAGAGAUCGGGAGGAACAUCAGUUGCGAAGGCGGCUCUCUGGACCAGCACUGACACUGAGGCACGAAAGCGUGGGGAGCAAACAGG